rnacentral:ncRNA from 1 species
ACGAUAAACUGUCCGUUGUCGUGGUUAAAUAGGGUGAACGCUAAUCAGCGGUGUGUAGCUUAAUACAAGCUAUGCUAACAGGGGAACGAUGACUGAUUUAAGCUUAAACUUGAAUUAAAAUCCAAUCCUGUGCCAAGCCUAGAAAUAGGAAGGUGCAACGACUAUCUCGAAAGAGAGUACGAUGUCUAUUGAUACGGCAUUGGAAGCGCCCUACUACUUGUGUAUUCAAACAAGUAUGAUGAUAUAGUCUAAUCCCUUAUGAAAGUAAGGG